rnacentral:lncRNA from 1 species
UAGAAAGCAGGAAAGAUCACAACAGUUGCAGAGUUACUACAUCAAGAGGCUUCUACUCCCCAAGGGAGGAACUGGAUAAAUCUAAGAACUGCACAAUGUUAACUCACAAAGAAGAAUUAAAAACAGAAGACGUUUUCCUACGUAACAAACCUGCACAUCCUGCACAUGUAUCCUGGAACUUAAAAUAAAAUAAAAUAAAAUUUUUAAAAAGAAUAAAUAAAUAGCAGCCUAGUCCAAAGACGUUUACAUCCUGGAAGAGAACUUGCUGGCUUUUCACCUCAGCAUGUAUGGGCCAAACUAAUAUAACAAGAAGUCUUGAGAGGAGUCAGCGGCCAAGCUCCAUGUCUUGCAGCCAAACAAUGCUGUGGGAUGGAAGGUGGGAUGUCAUGUGUCUGGUUUACAGCACUCACGUAUCAGUUGGCAGUUAACGGAAGUGCUACUGAUUGGUGAUAUGCCUACUCCCCCUUCACCUUCGAUCAUGAUUGUAAACUUCGUGAGGACAUCACCAAAGGCUGACAUUGGCAACAUGCUUCCUGUACAAUCUGCAGAACAACGAUGGAACAAAAUAAACACCUUUUCUUUAUAAAUUACCCGGCUUCAUGUAUUCCUUCAUAACAAUGCAAAGCAGCCUAAUACAAAUUGUCAGUGAGUAGGCAGAUUUUCAGAAUGUAUGGCUAAUUGGAAUUUCCAUGGUCCUAUAUGAGAAGAGAUUUGAAGUAAUUCCAUAGAAUGUUAUGAGCGCCCUGGGAGAAGAAAAAGGGUGAUUUUUCAGAAGGAAAAGAGUGUAAGAAAAACAUGAAAUUCAAUUUUCCAAUGACAGUUCUG